CCUACGGGUAGCAGCAGUGAGGAAUAUUGGACAAUGGACGGAAGUCUGAACCAGCCAUGCCGCGUGCAGGAAGACGGCUCUAUGAUUUGUAAACUGCUUUUGUACAAGGGUAAACCUGAAUACGUGUAUUCAGCUGAAAGUACUGUACGAAUAAGGAUCGGCUAACUCCGUGCCAGCAGCCGCGGUAAUACGGAGGAUCCAAGCGUUACCCGGAUUUAUUGGGUUUAAAGGGUGCGUAGGCGGAUUGAUAAGUUAGAGGUGAAAUGCCCGGGCUUAACUCGGGAACUGCCUCUGAUACUGGUGGUCUAGAGAGUAGAUGCGGUAGGCAGAAUGUAUGGUGUAGCGGUGAAAUGCGUAGAGAUCAUACAGAACACCGAUUGCGAAGGCAGCUUACCAAUCUAUGUCUGACGUUGAGGCGCGAAAGCGUGGGGAGCAAACAGGAUUAGAUACCCGUGUAGUC
rnacentral:rRNA from 1 species